GUUUGGAUGGCGGACAGGCGAAGAGCACCUGCUCGCUACAUUAAUGAACUAACUUUAAGAGAUUAGCGAGGAAUUUAGCAAUGACAUCCUUUGAUAAGCGAUAAAGGUGAUUUCAACAGCAAGGCUUGAAGAUGCGACUGUUUCUGGACCACUUUUGUCUGAAUUUUGGCAUGACUGCAAUCUAGUGCUGCCUGAAAUGAAGACACACCAGGACAUCUCUGAAUUCUGUCAUAAUCUGCUUUCAGCUGUCUCAUUUCCUCAGUCUCUCUAAAAAGCAGUUCCAAUUUUUCCAUCUCUGUCAUCAUGGUCAAUUUGUUUAGCGUUUUAUCUGAAAGGGAAAAUAAAAUCAACAUCAGUUAUGAUUUGCACAAGUGAAGAUAAAUAUAUAAACUGGUUUCCUGGAUGAUGACAGAAUUCAAUAGGAUAGGAUAUCAUAUCCUGUUCUCAACAGAGGUGUAUUUUGCAGACCAUUCAACAUGUUCAAUACCCAAAGGCCUGACAAGUUGAAGAAAAA